AACUUUUAACAACGGAUCACUUGGCUCUUGCAUCGAUGAAGAACGCAGCGAAAUGCGAUACGUAAUGUGAAUUGCAGAAUUCAGUGAAUCAUCGAAUCUUUGAACGCACCUUGCGCCCCUUGGAAUUCCGAGGGGCACACCCGUUUGAGUGUCGUGAACAUCCUUCAACCUUUCUUGGUUUCUUGACCGGGGAAGGCUUGGACUUUGGGGGUCUUUCAUUGCUGGCCUCUUUGAAGCCAGCUCCUCCUAAAUGGAUUAGUGUGGUCUGCUUUGCCGAUCCUUGACGUGAUAAGAUGUUUCUACGUCUUGGGUUUCGCACUGUCGCUUUAGACCCCGCUUCUAACCGUCUUGCAUUCAAGACAGAGUUUUAAACCUUGACCUCAAAUCGGGUGAGACUACCCGCUGAACUUAAGCAUAUCAAUAAGCGGAGGCU
rnacentral:misc_RNA from 1 species